UGUAGGGGUAAAAUCCGUAGAUAUCACCAAGAAUACCCAUUGCGAAGGCGAUCUGCUGGAACUCAACUGACGCUAAGGCGCGAAAGCGUGGGGAGCAAACAGGAUUAGAUACCCUGGUAGUCCACGCCCUAAACGAUGUACACUAGUUGUUGGGGUGCUAGUCAUCUCAGUAAUGCAGCUAACGCAUUAAGUGUACCGCCUGGGGAGUACGGUCGCAAGAUUAAAACUCAAAGGAAUAGACGGGGACCCGCACAAGCGGUGGAGCAUGUGGUUUAAUUCGAAGAUACGCGAAGAACCUUACCUGGGCUUGAUAUCCUAAGAACCUUUUAGAGAUAAGAGGGUGCUAGCUUGCUAGAACUUAGAGACAGGUGCUGCACGGCUGUCGUCAGCUCGUGUCGUGAGAUGUUGGGUUAAGUCCCGCAACGAGCGCAACCCACGUAUUUAGUUGCUAACGGUUCGGCCGAGCACUCUAAAUAGACUGCCUUCGUAAGGAGGAGGAAGGUGUGGACGACGUCAAGUCAUCAUGGCCCUUAUGCCCAGGGCGACACACGUGCUACAAUGGCAUAUACAAUGAGACGCAAUACCGCGAGGUGGAGCAAAUCUAUAAAAUAUGUCCCAGUUCGGAUUGUUCUCUGCAACUCGAGAGCAUGAAGCCGGAAUCGCUAGUAAUCGUAGAUCAGCCAUGCUACGGUGAAUACGUUCCCGGGUCUUGUACUCACCGCCCGUCACACCAUGGGAGUUGAUUUCACUCGAAGCCGGAAUACUAAACUAGUUACCGUCCACAGUGGAAUCAGCGACUGGGGUGAAGUCGUAACAAGGUAACCGUAGGAGAACCUGCGGUUGGAUCACCUCCUUUCUA
rnacentral:rRNA from 1 species